GACGAACGCUGGCGGCGUGCUUAACACAUGCAAGUCGAACGGAAAGGCCCUGCUUUUGUGGGGUGCUCGAGUGGCGAACGGGUGAGUAACACGUGAGUAACCUGCCCUUGACUUUGGGAUAACUUCAGGAAACUGGGGCUAAUACCGGAUAGGAGCUCCUGCUGCAUGGUGGGGGUUGGAAAGUUUCGGCGGUUGGGGCUGGACUCGCGGCUUAUCAGCUUGUUGGUGGGGUAGUGGCUUACCAAGUCUUUGACGGGUAGCCGGCCUGAGAGGGUGACCGGCCACAUGGGGACUGAGAUACGGCCCAGACUCCUACGGGAGGCAGCAGUGGGGAAUAUUGCACAAUGGGCGGAAGCCUGAUGCAGCAACGCCGCGUGCGGGAUGACGGCCUUCGGGUUGUAAACCGCUUUCGCCUGUGACGAAGCGUGAGUGACGGUAAUGGGUAAAGAAGCACCGGCUAACUACGUG
rnacentral:rRNA from 1 species